UACGUAGGGUGCGAGCGUUGUCCGGAAUUAUUGGGCGUAAAGAGCUCGUAGGCGGUGUGUCACGUCGGCCGUGAAAACCUGCAGCUUAACUGUGGGCGUGCGGUCGAUACGGGCAUCACUGGAGUUCGGCAGGGGAGACUGGAAUUCCUGGUGUAGCGGUGAAAUGCGCAGAUAUCAGGAGGAACACCAGUGGCGAAGGCGGCUACCUGGCCCAUUCUUGACGCUGAGGCGCGAAAGCUAGGGGAGCAAACGGG
rnacentral:rRNA from 1 species